GGUGGAAUUUGGGGUCAAGGGUUAAACUAGGAGGGAUCUUGUGUAACAUAUCGAGAACAAAGAAAAAAACUGGUGUAAAAGACUAUUUAAGCAGGCUAGAAUUUGAGUGAGACAGAAUUUUUCAGACAGAGAUGCUACUGGGGGUCUCCUGAAAGUUCUCCUUUGUUGUCGACAAUAAAGUAUAUUCUUCUGAUAUUCAUAACCUACAGACUGAGUUUGAUUCAUUAAGAGAAAAAUUGAAAACCACUACAAUAAGAACUUCAGUGACUGGUUUGCUUCUGUAUUUGGAUCAUGGUUGCUCAAGAUUGGAAUAUUCAUAGGAAUUGGUCUACUUGUUUUUGUAUUUCUCUUUUGUUGUGUUGUGCCUUUUCUCAGAUCGAUGCGUGUUAAAGCUGCUGCCAAGCAGAUGGCCAAUGUGCAAGUGAAUAGAAUUGUGCAUGACUGCAGAGACCAUGUCAAUGAAGUCUUUGGGCCAGAUUUGAACCAGUUGGGAGUUCAUUGAAGCUGCCAGAGCUCCUAUCAGAUGUACACGGGGAAAGAGGGAAGAUGAUUACGGUCAAGGGACACCUUGGUAUCCAAUGGCAAGAGAAGCAGAAGAGCAGACUCUACUGGCGGUUUAAAAACCCACUGUCUGCUCCAACACCAGACAGUACUCAGAAGUACCUCUGGCGACAUGGGAUAAAACAUCAGAUAUGGCUCUUUUACAGGCGCCGAGAAUAUUCUACAAAUAUAUGAUUUCUAUUAAAUGAUGAUUAAUCAAGUAUAUAUGCUGUAUACCAACAACUGUGAGCAAGGCUGACAAGCAUAUAUUUUUAACCUGACUAAUGAUUAUUGUGUGUUCAACUCCCCCCCCAAAAAAGUAUUCAGUUAGGGAGAGCGGGAUCUUUUACUCCUUCUAAAGUCAAAAGUGGAGGGAGAUGUUUGGUUCUGUUUCUCCUCUGAAGUGCGGCGCAAGGGUGCUGACAAUUGCAGGAUGUAGAUGGGCAACUUUUUGGUUGCACAAGUAUGUUAAGACUUUGCAAGUGUUGGAUUCUUAAGUUGCACUUCAGUGAGGGAUUUAGGAAAGGGACUUUUUUGAUUAAGUCCCUAAGGGAAUUAUAAUUAUAGAGGAAUUAGAAUUGUAGAGGAACUUUUAUUAUGUAAUCACUAUAUAAUCACUCUAUAAUCUGCCACUAUUAAAAUACACUGUUAAACAUAUAGAAAUACAUUCAAGUGAUGCAGAGUAAAACACACAGAAGUAAACAGCGGUGUAGUAAGACCAUUCAGACAGCAUAUGCAACACGUACUGAUGUAUUGACCAUGACAAAAACAACUUAAAAACAACUUUGCUCAACCUGCAAUGCAAUAGCAUGCAUAGGGAGAAUCUUUUAAAAAAAGUGUUGAAAUAUGACCUUUAAGAUAAGCAAAAACAGAAAAACAUACAGCCAUCAAUAUAAAGGCUAGAAUCCUAUUAGAGCCUGGAAAUAAUGUGAUGCUCAUGCUACACCACUGUUUCAUGAUGACUUAAAACCUGUAUAUAAACUGUGGGUUUUGGAACAUUUUUAGGAGCGAAAUCAAUCGACCAACUCUGCUGUAACAAUAAACUGCUUCAACUUGA